GCGGCCUAUCAGCUUGUUGGUGAGGUAAUGGCUCACCAAGGCGACGACGGGUAGCCGGCCUGAGAGGGCGACCGGCCACACUGGGACUGAGACACGGCCCAGACUCCUACGGGAGGCAGCAGUGGGGAAUAUUGGGCAAUGGAGGAAACUCUGACCCAGCGACGCCGCGUGCGGGAUGAAGGCCUUCGGGUUGUAAACCGCUUUCAGCAGGGAAGAAGCGAAAGUGACGGUACCUGCAGAAGAAGCACCGGCUAACUAUGUGCCAGCAGCCGCGGUAAUACAUAGGGCGCAAGCGUUGUCCGGAAUUAUUGGGCGUAAAGAGCUCGUGGGUGGUUCGUCACGUCGGAUGUGAAACUCUGGGGCUUAACCCCAGACCUGCAUUCGAUACGGGCGAGCUUGAGUAUGGUAGGGGAGACUGGAAUUCCU
rnacentral:rRNA from 1 species